rnacentral:snRNA from 1 species
AAAAUUUUUCGAAAGAAAAAAAAAAAUACUGUUCUUAUCAGUUUAAUAUCUGAUACGUCCCCUACCCGGGGACUACAUAUUAAAUUGAUUUUUGGAUCACGGAGCUGGAGCCGGGGCUUGCUCUGUCCACUCCACGCAUCGGCCUGGUAUUGCAGUGUCUCCAGGAACGGUGUGCUUCCC